rnacentral:rRNA from 1 species
AGCGCAGGCGGGAAGACAAGUUGGAAGUGAAAUCCAUGGGCUCAACCCAUGAACUGCUUUCAAAACUGUUUUUCUUGAGUAGUGCAGAGGUAGGCGGAAUUCCCGGUGUGGCGGUGGAAUGCGUAGAUAUCGGGAGGAACACCAGUGGCGAAGGCGGCCUACUGGGCACCAACUGACGCUGAGGCUCGAAAGUGUGGGUAGCAAACA